UUUCCCUGACUUUAUCUUUUCAUGUAUUACUUUUUAUCACAGACAUCUGUGUGCCAACAAGGCUGAUAGAGGGGGGGAGAAACUUGAUACAUUUCCUUCCCAACGUUUAUGUAUUUGAUUAUCCUUGCAGGGACAAGAAAGAAUGAGACCAAACUAAGUGCAAAAGGAAAAUAAGAAACCUGCUUUGAGAAUAAUGCUGAAAGAAAGCCCUGUAUCCAGUGAUGUUAGCCCUGUUUGGGAAUGCAGGUGUCUCCUUUGCCUAGUAUAUGAGUGAGGAAGCGACUUGAUGGAGCAGAUUCCCAAUGCAGAUCUCAACAAGUUUAUGUUGAUUUCGUAAU